rnacentral:rRNA from 1 species
UACGAAGGGUGCAAGCGUUACUCGGAAUUACUGGGCGUAAAGCGUGCGUAGGUGGUUUGUUAAGUCUGAUGUGAAAGCCCUGGGCUCAACCUGGGAACUGCAUUGGAAACUGGCUUACUAGAGUGCGGUAGAGGGGUGUGGAAUUCCCGGUGUAGCAGUGAAAUGCGUAGAGAUGCGGAGGAACACCGAUGGCGAAGGCAGCCCCCUGGGCUAGCACUGACGCUCAGGCACGAAAGCGUGGGGAGCAAACAGG